rnacentral:lncRNA from 1 species
UAGAUAUAAUGUUAAUAUUUUUAUUUGCAGUUCUCAAAGAACCAUUUUGAAAUUAGGAUACUCCCCUCCUUCCCAAAAAAGUGCAAUAGUGGAAUCUCUCUUCGAAGCAAUCUGAAAGCUUGCUGACAAAAAAUGAUGUGCAUGAAUGUCACCCUCUCCAUAACCCCAAAGAAAAAGACAAUUUGUGGAAUAUGAGUAAAUUCAGCCUCAUGUGACAGAAAACCUUUGAUUUUGUUUUUAACUUUAUAGGACUAGGCAACAAUAUUUUUUGUGGGUUUGUAGCUU